rnacentral:lncRNA from 1 species
CCGAUUUGGAUGUGAAUAUUGACUCGAACCAAACAAUAUCUUGUGCAGGGUGAUGUUGUGACAGGUUCUUUCUCUGUCCCGAUCUCACUCUAUUAACAAGCAGUCUCAGCACCAUCCAAGGUCAUGCUGUUGAUCGCUGAAUAUUUGCACCUUGUUGAUGGGUGUCACAGGGCAUGUAUUGAAUGCUUGUAAGAACCGGUUUUCGUAGGACGCAAGUUCUGCCAGGAAUUUGGGCAAGAAGACCACGGCUUUCCGUAGACAGGGUAUCAAGG